rnacentral:rRNA from 1 species
CCUACGGGAGGCAGCAGUAGGGAAUUUUCGUCAAUGGGCGCAAGCCUGAACGAGCGAUGCCGCGUGAGUGACGAAGGCCUUCGGGUCGUAAAGCUCUGUUGCGGGGGAAAAAAGGCAGCAUCAGGAAAUGGGUGCUGACUGAUGGUGCCCCGCCAGACAGUCACGGCUAACUACGUGCCAGCAGCCGCGGUAAUACGUAGGUGGCGAGCGUUAUCCGGAAUGAUUGGGGGGAAGGGGGGCGCAGGCGGUCCGGCAAGGCGGGAGUGAAACGCAUGAGCUCAACUCAUGAAUUGCUGUGGAAACGGGAGGAGUGGAGAGCAGGAGAGGGCGGUGGAACUCCAUGUGUAGUGGUAAAAUGCGUAGAUAUAUGGAAGAACACCAGUGGCGAAGGCGGCCGCCUGGCCUGUUGCUGACGCUGAGGCACGAAAGCGUGGGGAGCAAAUAGGAUUAGAUACCCGGGUAGUC